UACGUAGGGUGCAAGCGUUGCCCGGAUUUCUUGGGCGUAAAGGGCGCGUAGGCGGUCACGCACGUCCGUUGUGAAAUCGCUCGGCUCAACUGGGCGGGGUCAGCGGAUACGGUGUGGCUGGAGCAAGCUAGGGGGCAAUGGAAUUCCCGGUGUAGUGGUGGAAUGCGUAGAUAUCGGGAGGAACACCAGUGGCGAAGGCGGUUGCCUGGAGCUUUGCUGACGCUGAUGCGCGAAAGCGUGGGGAGCGAUCCGG
rnacentral:rRNA from 1 species